rnacentral:tRNA from 1 species
GCUGGGUAACAGAAUGGUGACGUUUUCAACCGACCUGUUAUCGGACGGUUACUGGUUCGAAUCCAGUCGCAGGAGCA